GGUAAAGAGACAGCAGCCGCCGCGGUAAUACGUAGGUGGCGAGCGUUGUCCGGAUUUAUUGGGCGUAAAGGGAGUGUAGGCGGUCUUUUAAGUCUGAUGUGAAAGCCCACGGCUCAACCGUGGAGGGUCAUUGGAAACUGGGAGACUUGAGUGCAGAAGAGGAGAGCGGAAUUCCAUGUGUAGCGGUGAAAUGCGUAGAUAUAUGGAGGAACACCAGUGGCGAAGGCGGCUCUCUGGUCUGUAACUGACGCUGAGGCUCGAAAGCGUGGGGAGCAAACAGGAUUAGAUACCCCAGUAGUCCCUGUCUCUUAUAC
rnacentral:rRNA from 1 species